CGUGUGAUUUCAAACCUCGCCUUAAAAAGUCUGCCUUUACUUGUAUAAAAGUGCCGUGUAUGAACAUACAGUGGUGAUACAUAGGCAGAUUAAGCUCAGUGAAACAUAUUUGUGGUAAGGUAUUCUUAAGCUACCUUUAAGACCACAUCAACACUUGCAGCAGAAAGAUUUCUUAGAGCCCCGUCAUCAUGAAUCUAAUGUCAACUCUAAUCAUCAUCUUCAUUGUGAACUGCGUGACUUCGGGUUUAUCAAUCAGCGAUAAACAAUCUAAACGAGUGACGUGCACCAAAGGAGGGAAGGUGUACCAGGUAGGUGAUGCCGUGCCAUCAGGAGACUGCAACACCUGCAGAUGUGCAAGCCCCGGGAUUGUUAUGUGCACCUUAAUGGCGUGCCUGAGACUGGUGGUGGAGGAGCCGACUUGUGAGAACAACG